rnacentral:rRNA from 1 species
CGGGUGAGUAACACGUGGAUAACCUACCUAUAAGACUGGGAUAACUUCGGGAAACCGGAGCUAAUACCGGAUAAUAUAUUGAACCGCAUGGUUCAAUAGUGAAAGACGGUUUUGCUGUCACUUAUAGAUGGAUCCGCGCUGCAUUAGCUAGUUGGUAAGGUAACGGCUUACCAAGGCAGCGAUGCGUAGCCGACCUGAGAGGGUGAUAGGCCACACUGGAACUGAGACACGGUCCAGACUCCUACGGGAGGCAGCAGCG